rnacentral:rRNA from 1 species
UACAGAGGGUGCGAGCGUUGUUCGGAAUUAUUGGGCGUAAAGGGCGCGUAGGCGGUGCGGUAAGUCACCUGUGAAAUCUCCUGGCUCAACUGGGAGCUUGCAGGCGAAACUGCCGUGCUGGAGUGUGGGAGAGGUGCGUGGAAUUCCUGGUGUAGCGGUGGAAUGCGUAGAUAUCAGGAGGAACACCUGUGGCGAAAGCGGCGCACUGGACCACAACUGACGCUGAGGCGCGAAAGCUAGGGGAGCAAACAGG